rnacentral:rRNA from 1 species
UCGCCUGCCCGGUGAAAUUUUUUAAACGGCCGCGGUAUCUUGACCGUGCAAAGGUAGCAUAAUCAAUUGUUUUAUAAUUGAAGACUAGAAUGAAUGGUUGGAUGAAAUAAAGGCUGUCUUGCUUAUAUUUAUUAGAAAUUGGCUUUUAAAUGAAGAGAUUUAAAUGUGAUUGAUAGACAAGAAGACCCUAUUGAGCUUAAAAUAAUUUUAAAGGUAUAUUUUAUUUGUUAGAUAUAAGAUUUAAUUUUUUUUUGGUUGGGGCGACUGAGGAGUAGGGAGAGCUUCCUUUAGUGGUGGGAGAUUGUUGAAUUUUGAUCCAAUAUAAUUGAUUGAAAGAGAUAGUUACCGUAGGGAUAACAGCAUAAUCUUCUCUGAGAGCUCAUAUCGAAGAGAGGGGUUGUGACCUCGAUGUUGGACUAAAAUAUCCUAUAAAUGCAGUUGUUUAUGAGGGUUGGUCUGUUCG